rnacentral:rRNA from 1 species
GACGAACGCUGGCGGCGUGCUUAACACAUGCAAGUCGAGCGGUAAGGCCCUUUCGGGGGUACGACGAGCGGCGAACGGGUGAGUAACACGUGGGUGACCUGCCCUUACGCUCUGGGAUAAGCCUGGGAAACUGGGUCUAAUACCGGAUAUGACUCCAUGACGCAUGUUGUGGGGUGGAAAGCCUUGUGCGGCUAGGGAUGGGCCCGCGGCCUAUCAGCUUGUUGGUGGGGUGAUGGCCUACCAAGGCGACGACGGGUAGCCGGCCUGAGAGGGCGACCGGCCACACUGGGACUGAGACACGGCCCAGACUCCUACGGGAGGCAGCAGUGGGGAAUCUUGCGCAAUGGGCGAAAGCCUGACGCAGCGACGCCGCGUGGGGA